rnacentral:rRNA from 1 species
GACGAACGCUGGCGGCGUGCCUAAUACAUGCAAGUAGAACGCUGAAGGAAGGAGCUUGCUCUUUCUGGCUGAGUUGCGAACGGGUGAGUAACGCGUAGGUAACCUGCCUGGUAGCGGGGGAUAACUAUUGGAAACGAUAGCUAAUACCGCAUAAAAUUGAUUAUUGCAUGAUAGUCAAUUAAAAGGUGCAACUGCACCACUACCAGAUGGACCUGCGUUGUAUUAGCUAGUUGGUGGGGUAACGGCUCACCAAGGCGACGAUACAUAGCCGACCUGAGAGGGUGAUCGGCCACACUGGGACUGAGACACGGCCCAGGCUCCUACGGGAGGCAGCAGUAGGGAAUCUUCGGCAAUGGACGGAAGUCUGACCGAGCAACGCCGCGUGAGUGAAGAAGGUUUUCGGAUCGUAAAGCUCUGUUGUAAGAGAAGAACGAGUGUGAGAGUGGAAAGUUCACACUGUGACGGUAUCUUACCAGAAAGGGACGGCUAACUACGUG